GGCUGCUUGGCAGAGUCUGGUUUAUUGCGACAGUCCUGAAAACUGUAGACGGUGAAACGUCCAGAGGUUCAAAUCCUCUAGCAGUCG
rnacentral:tRNA from 2 species